rnacentral:tRNA from 1 species
GGAAAUGUAGCUCAGUGGUCGAGCACCUGCCUAGCAAUCAGGAAGUCCUGAGUUCAAACAUCAGUAACACCA